UGGGGAAUAUUGGACAAUGGGCGAAAGCCUGAUCCAGCAAUGCCGCGUGAGUGAUGAAGGCCUUAGGGUUGUAAAGCUCUUUUACCCGGGAUGAUAAUGACAGUACCGGGAGAAUAAGCUCCGGCUAACUCCGUGCCAGCAGCCGCGGUAAUACGGAGGGGGCUAGCGUUGUUCGGAAUUACUGGGCGUAAAGCGUACGUAGGCGGCUUUGUAAGUUAGAGGUGAAAGCCCGGGGCUCAACCCCGGAAUUGCCUUUAAGACUGCAUCGCUUGAACGUCGGAGAGGUGAGUGGAAUUCCGAGUGUAGAGGUGAAAUUCGUAGAUAUUCGGAAGAACACCAGUGGCGAAGGCGGCUCACUGGACGACUGUUGACGCUGAGGUACGAAAGCGUGGGGAGCAAACA
rnacentral:rRNA from 1 species